UGCCGCGUCCUUCAGCCGGACAUCCUGUGCCUUUAAGCAACACAUGACUUAGCUAAAUGAUUGUUGAGAGUUGCAUAACACAAGCUUUAACAAAAAGACUCCACAAAGGAGGCAACGAUUGCCAUAAUCUACAUUUUUACAGCAGAUCUAGCUACACUUCUACCUUCUGCAAUGUUAAAAAUUUGCUUUUUUCUCUCCAGUUUUUUGAGUUGAGUUUUAUUCCGCGCAGCAUAAUUUUUCCAGUCCUCCUCCUCCUCCUCUUCCUCUUCCUCCUCGGCUCCUUAAAUAGAGGAGCGGAGAGCAGGGAGGGGGUUGCUUGGUGACGGUUGCUGUUGGACUUUUGUGGGCGGCGAGGCAGUUGUUAGGAUGAAAGGCGUUGUUGCCAUGGCGACGUAUUGACUGUUAUCAUCGUUAAGCUGGAUCUCUGUGCGACCCGCGCUCAGGUGCUAUUCAGACGUUCCCAUUCAGCCAGCCGGCUCUGCAGGAUUUCCCCAGCAGCACGCGACCCAGAAGUCGGAUCACGUUCGUCCACCAAAGUAAGCGUGCAAGUCGUGGAGGAGUCAGUCACACCUCUGCUCCGUCAGCGGGAGGAGGGGCUGCUGCAGCCUGAGGCAGAGCAACAGAACUGAUGGGCGCCCUCGUCCUCGCCCUCCUCACUGGGGAGGCGACAAACACGGGACAGCAGGCGGACGAGAAAAAAAGAGAGGAAAAACAUGAAAAACGAAGCAUAAAGCAAGCAGGUGGGAUCUCGUCCUUAUUAGUGUGGGUGACAUUAAAGAGAUAAAGCAGGAACAAAAAAGGCAUCUGGGUUAGUUUACUCUGCAGCCGCCUUAAUGCCAGUAGGUGGCAGUGUUGCGGCGUUGUGUGCUGGAGGGCAGCAUCAGCUGAGGGAUAAGUGGAAGAGAUAAAAGAGGCAGAGAAUCACCGGGUUUACUUGUGACUCAGUCAACCUCAGUCCCGCAGUUUACUGGAGAUCACCGCUUCCUCUCGCUCCGCUUGAGGAGUGGUGUGCGUUUUUCUGAGCUUGCAGAACAGCAAUCUAUUAGUCACACCUGGGCGGUGGGACACUGAAGCACCAGUUUAUACAAUGGGUGGAGGAGGUAGACGAGGAUUAACUGUAAAAAAUAUAAAUAACGAAAGAAAACACUGGAAAUGAGGGAAAUGGGGCAAAUAGGGCGGUUUUGGAUGACUUACAGGCUCUUGCAAAUGUUUUUUUACAUCACAACCACAAGCAAAAAUGGAUUUAAUUAGGAUUUUAUGUAAUGUAUCAAAACAAGCGAUACAGAACUUUUUGUGCCUGGCCUUCUUUACUCUGACAUCCCUAAAUAAAAUCCACCUGUUUCUAAUUUAAUCUCCAAAAUAAUCCAGUUGUUCUUAAACUCAAGGUUUUUUAGAGAGGAUUAUCAAACAUCAUGAAGACCAAUCAGGGUUAAGUUGCAAAGAAGUCUAAAGCUAAUCUAAAACUACAUCAUCAGCUUUGAACAAUUCUCAGAGAUCAUGAAAAGUUUGGAACAACAGCAAACUAAACAAGACUAGGCCGUUCAUAUAAGUUGACAAAUUGCAACAUUUUCAGCUGCUACAUUGAACUGUCAAACGAACUAAACCUUUUG